rnacentral:rRNA from 1 species
UGUUGGGUUAAGUCCCGCAACGAGCGCAACCCUCGCCUUUAGUUGCCAGCACGUUUGGGUGGGCACUCUAAAGGAACUGCCGGUGACAAGCCGGAGGAAGGUGGGGAUGACGUCAAGUCCUCAUGGCCCUUAUGUCCUGGGCUACACACGUGCUACAAUGGCGGUGACAGUGGGAAGCUAGGCAGCGAUGCCAUGCUGAUCUCUAAAAGCCGUCUCAGUUCAGAUUGCACUCUGCAACUCGAGUGCAUGAAGGUGGAAUCGCUAGUAAUCGCGGAUCAGCAUGCCGCGGUGAAUACGUUCCCGGGCCUUGUACACACCGCCCGUCACACCAUGGGAGUUGGUUCGACCUUAAGCUGGUGCGCGAACUCGCAAGAGACGCAGCCAACCACGGUCGGGUUAGCGACUGGGGUGAAGUCGUAACCAAGGUAGCCGUAGGGGAACCUGCGGCUGGAUCACCUCCUUUCUAAUCGAAUUCCCGCGGCC